rnacentral:rRNA from 1 species
UGCAACGCGAAGAACCUUACCACUUCUUGACAUGGAGAUUAGAUCCUUCUUAACAGAAGGGCGCAGUUCGGCUGGAUCUCGCACAGGUGCUGCAUGGCUGUCGUCAGCUCGUGUCGUGAGAUGUUGGGUUAAGUCCCGCAACGAGCGUAACCCUCAUCCUUAGUUGCCAGCGGGUUAAGCCGGGCACUUUAAGGAGACUGCCAGUGGUAAACUGGAGGAAGGUGGGGAUGAUGUCAAGUCAGCACGGCCCUUAUGGAGUGGGCUACGCACUUGCUACAAUGG